UUGUGUAGUUUCACAAAACUAUACACCCGCGAAAUGAUAUGGCUGUUACACCUAAGACGAGGACAUGGCAUCCUAUUACCAGCCAUCGCACGAAAUUAAUAUGAUGCCACGUCCUCAUCUUAGAUGGAACAACCACGUCAUCUCACAGGUGAAUCCAUUCAUCGAUAGUGUGGUU
rnacentral:pre_miRNA from 1 species